UGGGGAAUAUUGCACAAUGGGCGAAAGCCUGAUGCAGCAACGCCGCGUGAGUGAUGAAGGUCUUCGGAUUGUAAAGCUCUGUCUUUUGGGACGAUAAUGACGGUACCAAAGGAGGAAGCCACGGCUAACUACGUGCCAGCAGCCGCGGUAAUACGUAGGUGGCGAGCGUUGUCCGGAUUUACUGGGCGUAAAGGGUGCGUAGGCGGAUGUUUAAGUGAGAUGUGAAAUACCCGGGCUUAACUUGGGUGCUGCAUUUCAAACUGGAUAUCUAGAGUGCAGGAGAGGAGAAUGGAAUUCCUAGUGUAGCGGUGAAAUGCGUAGAGAUUAGGAAGAACACCAGUGGCGAAGGCGAUUCUCUGGACUGUAACUGACGCUGAGGCACGAAAGCGUGGGUAGCAAACAGGAUUAGAUACCCUGGUAGUCCACGCCGUAAAACGAUGAGUACUAGGUGUAGGAGGUAUCGGCCCCUUCUGUGCCGCAGUAAAACA
rnacentral:rRNA from 1 species